CAGAUUUUGGUCCAGAAAUGGCGAGCGCAGCAAAGCCCAAAGGCACAAUCUGAUGUGCGAAGGCAGCUUUCUCCCUCUUGACCUGCAAUGUCUCAUGGUAAAGUAGUUGCUUGUUUUAAAGAAAUGCAGGAGAGCUCGAUGAUCUCAAUAUUAACAGGAGGUCCCCAACUGACCCCCAGAGCUCUCACCUUUCUGGUGCCCUGCACUUCAGCUGAACUCUUGAUGCUGUUGUAGUCUAGGACCAGGGCUACCAAUGGGGAACAGAUGCAGCUGAGCCCCAGCAGCAAGACUGCCACCAUUCUUCAGGCAGGUUGAUCUGUGCUUCCCCCCGUGAGUUCUACAGCGCUUACCCGUUAUCUAAGAUGUGCGAAGCUUGAAAACAAGCAGCACAGAUUCAUCAAAUAUGGGAUAUUUGUGAAUCUUUUUAAAAGAAAAAAUCUUGAAUAAAAGUCCUUUUCUUAUAUUUUACAUCUCUAACCUAAGAGAAAAAUCUGUGGAGAGGAGCUCUGUCCUUCCUUGGGUAUUUAUAGCCAAGUUUGCUGUCCGUUCCAUCCCCUCCUCUCCUCAUUUCCUUUCUCUUCAGCCCACACAGACUUCAACAAAUCUCUUCAAAUCUGUUUGAUCAAUAGUUCAAAACAAGGAUUCACUAAAAUGAGCAAGGAGGUAGGGCGGCGGCAGCUACGUCUCCUCAGGGGCUGAGCCACUCCUAAUUAUUGUAUAUCAAAGUUAGUUCAAAGGGACAGCAGAGGAGCAGGAUGUUUGUAUCAAAGGCAGACACUGCUAAUCACCUGAAUUUCCUACCCUCCUUAAUCCCUUUGCAAAAUGUUUUUUUCCAAGAUCUGUUUUCACAGCUAAUUGUGAUCCAAGAAAGAGUGAUUGAUUCAUGUGGGCCAGUCUGCCAAUUACUAAACAUUUAUCCCUGGUAUGGUGGGAAUAUAGAAAAAACUGUCUGGUUAGCUCUGGCAUCCAGUCACAAUUAUCACUUAGUUCAAGGCAGCUGCCAAAAUAAUCUCUGCUCAAGUCAGAUGUGUUUGGGAAAGCUUUCUUGCUUCCUGUAGUGGAACAAAACUGUUUGAAGCUAGUGUUCAUUCAGAAAACUAGGAUAUGUAUCUGCUUUGAUCCUGACUCAAGUUGGGGGGUGGGGGGUACUAGUAGUAAAAUCACAAUAUUUAUCUUCACAAAAUGUGAUUGGUAUCUUUACUGUCAUCUGUAUCACAUUGCCUUAACUUGAAACAACUGGAACUGGAUUAUAGAUCUCCAGCUGAUAUAUGCAGAAUUUGACAUGCCUCUAAUCUCCCCAGACAGAAAAGCCUUCUUCCUCUCAGAACUUUGCCAUUCAGUUGUCAUGUUGAAACAUCAUCCAGGACAGACUGGAAGCGGAAAGCCUACAUGUGUGCCUUAAGCUACUCUAUACUAAUGUUUUAAAGUUAGAAAAAGAAUAAAGUACCUAACGUUUUUAUCAUUGUACAUUUCCUGUCAACACUCCAAGUUAAUAAAUAUGAUCUGUAUAUUAUGCCAUU